AGGAAAACGGAAUUUACUGGGGGAAAAGGAAAAAGAAAAAACUCUCACCAAAGCAAGAGUCCUGCUAGCAGGUUUCCCGCCUCACAGAUUGAAGCCCAGGUCGCCACACAGGAACAGGCUCCUCCCCGCUGCAAAUGGCGUGAACUUCUGGAGGCCCCACCCCGUUCUCCCAGUGCAAAGAAACUCACAUUUCUUCUAUCUCAUUACCUGUGGUCAGAAAUUACCUCAUGUGGCUUCAACAGGGCAUUCUGUACUAACCAUGGUUUAUUGAAAAUGUUACAACAUUUCAGAAAGAUUCAAACAGCUCCAUGUGGUGGAUAGUCCAAUCUGCAGGUCACUCAGCCUACAGUUGGGAUGAAUUUCCCAAAGUCCAAACCUUCAGCAUUUCUCCAGUAUCAAGAUCUACUUCAGUGAUCUCCUGAUCCAAGCCUGAGACCUCAGGAGCAUAAUUAUCUCUCCUUUCUCUCUUCUUCUCCUGCAACCUGAUGGAAAUACCUCUUACUGGGCCCCUGUGAAUCUGCUUCUUCAGAUGCGUGACUCAGCCUGCUAUCUUGUUGCAGAGCUUCUUGCUGGGGAUAAUGACAGUCUUCACCCACUUGCUUGUUCAUGUGGAAAUCAUUACCGGGGUGCAUGUAAUACUUUUCUAUGAUGACCCAGGCUACCUUCUUCACUGUUUUGGUGUGAAGGCUGCCCAUCUUGGCAGGUCCUUGGUAAAAGAGGCCAAACUCUUUAUACUUAAAAAUUUACUUUGCUCAUCUUACAGCCUUUUACAUC
rnacentral:lncRNA from 10 species